CAACAGGGAUUGCCCUAGUAACGGCGAGUGAAGCGGCAAGAGCUCAAAUUUGAAAUCUGGCUCCUUUGGAGUCCGAGUUGUAAUUUGUAGAGGGUGCUUUGGUGUCGGCUAUGGCCUAAGUUCCUUGGAACAGGACGUCACAGAGGGUGAGAACCCCGUAUGUGGCUGCUAGCCUUCACCAUGUAAAGCCCCUUCGACGAGUCGAGUUGUUUGGGAAUGCAGCUCUAAAUGGGAGGUAAAUUUCUUCUAAAGCUAAAUAUUGGCCAGAGACCGAUAGCGCACAAGUAGAGUGAUCGAAAGAUGAAAAGCACUUUGGAAAGAGAGUCAAAAAGCACGUGAAAUUGUUGAAAGGGAAGCGCUUGCAGCCAGACUUGCUCGUAGUUGCUCAUCCGAGCUUUUGCUCGGUGCACUCUUCUGCGAGCAGGCCAGCAUCAGUCCGGGCGGUUGGAUAAAGGCUCUGGGAAUGUAGCUCUCUUCGGGGAGUGUUAUAGCCCAGGGUGUCAUGCAACCAGUCUGGACUGAGGUCCGCGCAUCUGCUAGGAUGCUGGCGUAAUGGCUGUAAGCGGCCCGUCUUGAAACACGGACCAAGGAGUCUAACAUCUAUGCGAGUGUUUGGGUGUCAAGCCCGGGCGCGCAAUGAAAGUGAACGGAGGUGGGAACCCUUCGGGGCGCACCAUCGACCGAUCCUGAUGUCUUCGGAUGGAUUUGAGUAAGAGCAUAGCUGUUGGGACCCGAAAGAUGGUGAACUAUGCCUGAAUAGGGUGAAGCCAGAGGAAACUCUGGUGGAGGCUCGCAGCGGUUCUGACGUGCAAAUCGAUCGUCAAAUUUGGGCAUAGGGGCGAAAGACUAAUCGAACUAUCUAGUAGCUGGUUCCUGCCAGAAGU
rnacentral:rRNA from 1 species